GGGUAUGCUUCUUCGGGAGCAGAGACCGGCGCACGGGUGCGUAACGCGUAUGCAAUCUACCUUUUACAGAGGGAUAGCCCAGAGAAAUUUGGAUUAAUACCUCAUAGUAUAAUAGCUCGGCAUCGAGCAAUUAUUAAAGUCACAACGGUAAAAGAUGAGCAUGCGUCCCAUUAGCUAGUUGGUAAGGUAACGGCUUACCAAGGCUACGAUGGGUAGGGGUCCUGAGAGGGAGAUCCCCCACACUGGUACUGAGACACGGACCAGACUCCUACGGGAGGCAGCAGUGAGGAAUAUUGGACAAUGGGCGCAAGCCUGAUCCAGCCAUGCCGCGUGCAGGAUGACGGUCCUAUGGAUUGUAAACUGCUUUUGUACAGGAAGAAACAGUUCUACGUGUAGAACCUUGACGGUACUGUAAGAAUAAGGAUCGGCUAACUCCGUGCCAGCAGCCGCGGUAAUACGGAGGAUCCAAGCGUUAUCCGGAAUCAUUGGGUUUAAAGGGUCCGUAGGCGGUUUAAUAAGUCAGUGGUGAAAGCCCAUCGCUCAACGGUGGAACGGCCAUUGAUACUGUUAAACUUGAAUUAUUAGGAAGUAACUAGAAUAUGUAGUGUAGCGGUGAAAUGCUUAGAGAUUACAUGGAAUACCAAUUGCGAAGGCAGGUUACUACUAAUUGAUUGACGCUGAUGGACGAAAGCGUGGGUAGCGAACAGGAUUAGAUACCCUGGUAGUCCACGCCGUAAACGAUGGAUACUAGCUGUUGGGAGCAAUUUCAGUGGCUAAGCGAAAGUGAUAAGUAUCCCACCUGGGGAGUACGUUCGCAAGAAUGAAACUCAAAGGAAUUGACGGGGGCCCGCACAAGCGGUGGAGCAUGUGGUUUAAUUCGAUGAUACGCGAGGAACCUUACCAAGGCUUAAAUGUAGAUUGACCGGUUUGGAAACAGAUCUUUCGCAAGACAAUUUACAAGGUGCUGCAUGGUUGUCGUCAGCUCGUGCCGUGAGGUGUCAGGUUAAGUCCUAUAACGAGCGCAACCCCUGUUGUUAGUUGCCAGCGAGUC
rnacentral:rRNA from 1 species